rnacentral:RNase_P_RNA from 1 species
GGGCAGGUAGAAAGUGGUCGCCCCACACCAACUUCAAUUAGCAUAUGCUGAUUGCGAAAGUAGUGUGGGGAGGAAAGUCCGAGCUCCUUUAGGGCAACGUAGUGGGUAACGCCCACCACCUGAAUUUUAAAGUUCAGGGCGGAUCAGAGUCACAGAGACGAGCCCGGCAUUAACUUGUCGGGGGUGAAACGAGACAAUCUCUACGUGGAGUAAGGCCGAAUAGGAGAUGAGGGAUGCCCGUCCCGGUUCCCGCAUUUUGCGGGAGGACCGCUUCGGCGGGAAAAAGUCUCGGGUAGGCUGCAUGAUUCUGAUAGUAAUAUCAGAGCUAAGAGAAAUGACCAUAAAGGAAGCGGAUAUUCGCAUCCAAAACAGAACUCGGCUUAUUCUGCCUGCCCUGCU